GUGUGAUAACCAGUUGUAACUACAAACGUGC
rnacentral:piRNA from 1 species